UUCAUAGGACUAAAAAUGUUUGGAGCUUUUGUUGAUCUGCACUUUUCUUUUCAGAUAUUUGACUUGCUCCCACUCAAGAAAUCCUCAGGUAUCCCGUAUGAGGUUGAUGAUGCUACAGAAUGCCUUAAUGUGAGACCAAAAAGAUAUGUUUUGCCGUACCCCAGUCAAGAGCAAAAUGACGCCUAUGCAGUUUUCCAGAAAGUCGGACUGAAGAUGGCGACAAACUUGCUUUUUCGAUUGCCUUCAUGCCUCAAGUUAAAAGGAAAAGUAUACCAUGAUGGCUCAACUGAAAUCUAUUCCAUGUACUACUAUGAUAUGGUUCCUGAUCGUAGUGAUUCUUCUGGUCGUGGUCUGGGAUCUGCUGGGCCAAUAGUGACAGCUCGCUCUUUCUUCCCUGAGACGUGGAUCUGGGAUCUGGUGGAAGUUGGAGACGAUGGAAAAAGGGGCGUGUCCCUGACUGUCCCAGACACCAUCACCACCUGGGAGACGGAGGCUUUCUGUUUGUCCUCUCAGGGUUUUGGUUUGGCUCCUCGUAAAGAAAUGAAAGUCUUCCAACCUUUCUUCCUUGAACUCACCAUGCCCUACUCCAUCAUCCGGGGGGAGCACUUUGAACUGAGGGCGACUGUCUUUAACUACCUGACCAGCUGCAUCAUGGUUACUGUCACUCCUGGGCCGUCCUCAGAUUACACCCUCACGCCUCUCUCUGGUGAUCUGUACACAUCCUGUUUGUGUGCCAACGAGCGCAAGACCCUCAGGUGGACCAUGAUCCCAACAGCCUUAGGGGCUGUGAAUGUGACUGUGUCUGCUGAGGCCGUAGCGUCCCAUGUGUCAUGCGAUAAUGAGGUUGUGAGCGUACCAGACAGAGGUCGCAUCGACGUGGUCACCAAAUCUCUCAUAGUGAAGGCCGAGGGAAGUGAGACGACAAAGACGUACAACUGGCUUCUUUGUCCAAAAGGAAUCCCGCUGACGGAGGAAGCAGAGAUACAUCUGCCUGAGAAUGUGAUAGAAGGAUCUGCCCGCACUUCUGUAUCAGUCCUGGGUGACAUCCUCGGCCGGGCUCUGAAGAACCUGGAUGGAUUGCUGCAGAUGCCGUAUGGAUGUGGGAGCAGAACAUGGCUCUCCUGGCCCCCAACAUCUACAUCCUCCACUACCUGAAAGGCACACAGCAGCUCACCGCAGCCAUCAUGGAAAAAGCUACUAACUUCCUCACCAGUGGAUACCAAAGACAGCUCAACUACAAAAGUGCUGACGGUGCUUACACCACAUUUGGAACAGGACCAGGAAACACUUGGCUGACUGCGUUUGUGGUAAGAAGUUUUGCCAAAGCUCAGUCUUUCAUCUUUAUUGAUCCCAGAAAGAUCGAAGAGUCUAAGACCUGGCUGCAACAUAAACAACAAGAAAAUGGCUGUUUUGAAAAGUCUGGGAAACUCUUCCACAACGGAAUGAAGGGUGGUGUAUCUGAUGAAGUGACUCUCAGUGCGUACGUUACUGCUGCCUUCUUGGAAAUGAAUACAUCCCAACAUGAUCCUGUGAUGAACAAGAGCCUGGCUUGUCUCAAGGAGUCUCUCAGUGACCUGAGCAACACCUACACUACAGCUCUGCUGGCCUAUGUGUUCACUCUGGCAGGAGACGUGGAGACCCGAGCUCACCUUUUGCAGCACUUAGACACAGUUGCAGUGAGGGAAGGAGGUUUCCUCUACUGGUCUCAGACAGCAGCAGAAACAUCAGCCUCCCUGUCAGUGGAAAUCAGUUCUUAUGUGCUGUUGGCCAAACUCAGCGCCUCCCCGACUGCUGAGGAUCUGGGAUAUGCCUCUGGUAUUAUCAGGUGGCUGACUGGGCAGCAGAACUAUUACGGAGGCUUCUCCUCCACUCAGGACACGGUGGUGGCUCUUCAGGCUCUGGCUCUCUACUCCACUCUGGUGUUCAGUGCUGAAGGUUGGAGCACAGUGACAGUUCAGGCUCCCAGCAGUCAGCUGACGUUUGAUGUAAAUCAGGGCAACAAACUGCUCUACCAGGAGGAGGCGCUGCAGGACGUGUCAGGAAAAUACAGCCUGGAGGUGAAGGGCACUGCAUGUGCUUCAGUGCAGAUUUCUGCCACCUACAACAUCCCAACACCUGCUGAUGUCACCACUCUCAGUGUGAGAGUCCAUCUAGAGGUCAACACCAGUGAAUCUGCUAGACCCAAAUUCACUGUGCAAAUACAAUCACUGUACAGUGGAAAGGAGGAAACUACAAACAUGGUGAUCCUGGACAUCAAAAUGCUCUCUGGAUUUUCCCCAGACCCCGAGUCUUUGAAGAGUCUCAAACGUGGCCUCCUGGUGAGUCGUGUUGAGCAAAAGGAGGAUCACGUUCUGGUGUACUUAGAGGAGUUAUCAAAGGACACACCCAUCAACCACAGCUUAGAGAUCAUCCAGGAGCUCCCAGUGGACAACCUGAAGCCAGCCGUGGUCAAGAUCUAUGACUACUACCAACCAGGUGACCAGGCUGAGACCCAAUACAUGUUUGUCUCGUGAGCUGCAGUUUGAAGAAGCUGUGGCUGGUCCUGAGGUUUAAACCUGCAUUUGAAUAAAGAUACUUUUUCUGCUCA